rnacentral:rRNA from 1 species
GACGAACGCUGGCGGCGUGCCUAACACAUGCAAGUCGAACGGUCCGGCACUCAACCGACCCUCAGUCUAACUGUAGGUGAAGUUGAGUGCCGGAUAGUGGCGGACGGGUGAGUAACGCGUGGGCAACCAACCCUGUACAGUGGGAUAACACCGGGAAACCGGUGCUAAUACCGCAUGACACCUAGAUGGUGCAUACUGGUUUAGGUUAAAGGGCAAAACCGGUACGGGACGGGCCCGCGUCCCAUUAGCUGGUUGGUGAGGUAACGGCUCACCAAGGCGACGAUGGGUAGCCGACCUGAGAGGGUGGCCGGCCACACUGGGGACUGAGACACGGCCCAGACUCCUACGGGAGGCAGCAGUGGGGAAUAUUGCGCAAUGGACGGAAGUCUGACGCAGCGACGCCGCGUGAGCGACGAAGGCCUUCGGGUCGUAAAGCUCUGUUCUUGGGGACGAAGGAAAUGACGGUCCCAAGGAGAAAGCCCCGGCUAACUACGUGCCCAGCAGCCGCGGUAAUAUAAGCGUACUCUGAAA